GACGAACGCUGGCGGCGCGCCUAACACAUGCAAGUCGAACGGAGUCAAGAGGAGCUUGCUUUUCUUGACUUAGUGGCGAACGGGUGAGUAACGCGUGAGUAACCUGCCCUGGAGUGGGGGACAACAGUUGGAAACGACUGCUAAUACCGCAUAAGCCCACGGAUCCGCAUGGAUCUGCGGGAAAAGGAUUUAUUCGCUUCAGGAUGGACUCGCGUCCAAUUAGCUAGUUGGUGAGGUAACGGCCCACCAAGGCGACGAUUGGUAGCCGGACUGAGAGGUUGAACGGCCACAUUGGGACUGAGACACGGCCCAGACUCCUACGGGAGGCAGCAGUAGGGGAUAUUGCACAAUGGGGGAAACCCUGAUGCAGCGACGCCGCGUGGAGGAAGAAGGUUUUCGGAUUGUAAACUCCUGUCGUUAGGGACGAUAAUGACGGUACCUAACAAGAAAGCACCGGCUAACUACGUG
rnacentral:rRNA from 1 species